rnacentral:rRNA from 1 species
CCCUUAGAUGUCCUGGGCCGCACGCGCGUUACACUGAUGCAUUCAACGAGCUUAUAACCUUGGCCGAGAGGCCUGGGCAAUCUUGUUAACGUGCAUCGUGAUAGGGAUAGAUUAUUGAAAUUAUUAAUCUUGAACGAGGAAUUCCUAGUAAACGCAGAUCAUCAAUCUGCAUUGAUUACGUCCCUGCCCUUUGUACACACCGCCCGUCACACCUACCGAUUGGAUGGUCCGGUGAAGCCUCGGGAUUGUGGUUCUUGCCGCUUUAUUGUAGCGUGACCGCGAGAACUUGUCUAAACCUUAUCAUCUAGAGGAAGGUGAAGUCGUAACA